CAGAUAUUCCCUUCGUAUGAAAAUACUUGUCAUAAUAAUGGAUGUAGCUAGAUGUAUUUUAGUUCUAGAUACAUUCAUUUUUAUUCAUUUAUGCGACAAGUAAUUCUAGACGGAGGAAGUAUUUG
rnacentral:pre_miRNA from 1 species